rnacentral:rRNA from 1 species
UACGUAGGGGGCAAGCGUUGUCCGGAUUUAUUGGGCGUAAAGAGCGUGUAGGCGGCCAAGCAGGUCAGCUGUGAAAACUCGAGGCUCAACCUCGAGACGUCGGUUGAAACCGCUUGGCUAGAGUCCGGAAGAGGAGAGUGGAAUUCCCGGUGUAGCGGUGAAAUGCGCAGAUAUCGGGAAGAACACCCGUGGCGAAGGCGGCUCUCUGGGACGGUACUGACGCUGAUGCACGAAAGCUAGGGGAGCAAACAGG